AACAUAAUUUUUUUUUAAUUUUUGUGCUUAAGGUAACGCGAAUAAGUAAACGAAAGACAUGCAUAAAUAAAAUAAAAUUAUAAUGAAAGUAAAAGGAUUGUUACUGUUUUUCGCAGUAAAAAUUAUUUUCUGCUUCACAACUUCUGUUAUAGCUGACAAACCCAAAGAUACAUUUAAACACUACUUUCCAGAGGUUACGUAUCCUACUUGUGUUUUUGAAGUCAGUGAACCUUUUUAUUAUAAUUCUCACACAGAUGAUGUCUUAGGACCGUUCCCUGCUGAUGUGAAAAUAUCAUACAAUUGCUUUAGUACAAGUACCAUACCUAGUAACAAAAAUACUAUAAAAAAUCUUGAAGAUGAUGUAUUGAUAGAUGUAGUAAAAUAUUGUGCUGUUGGUAAUAAUCACACUAACUCCAUGGGGACAAAAAUUGAAAAAAAUUGCGAGAAUGAUUAUGAUAAUAGUCAACAAAAUCAAACUUUAGGGGUAAUGAAUGGGGACCUUAAUGAAAAGAAAAAUGAUAAUGAAAACAAUCUAUGCCUGUUACUCGAAGAAGAUGUAUGCACUAAUAAUAAUAUGACUCGAAAUAUAAAUGAUAGCCAAAAUUAUCCUGAAACACUAGUGCAACUUAUAACAGAGAAUGAGGUUUUGAAAAAUACUAGUGAUUUACUGACAAGUGUUUCGAAUAAAAUUCUAGAUAAAUUUUCUGAUUGUAUGAAUAUAGUAAAUAAUUCAUGUUCUGAAGAAGAACAAGGAAAUAUGAAAACUUCAACAAAAGAAGAUAGAUUGAGCGACAUAAAUACAUUUAAUGAAAUGAAUGAAACUAAUUUUGAAAAUAUUUUAAACGAUUCUUCGGAAUUUUCAAUUUUGCAAUCAGAAAUGCAAGAAUUUUCUGAACCAGAUUCAAUUAAUUUCACAGAAUCAUAUCAAGAUGAGAAUUCAAUUAAUACAAUAAACGAAACAUUACUAAUUCCCGUAGAUUAUCAUAAAAUAAAUCGUCCCAUAAAUAAUACAAAAUUUAAUGAAACUAAGAAAACUUAUUUUGAAAAUAUUUUAUCUGAAUCACUGUGCGAUUACUCAAACAACUUACAAAACGAUUCGUCAGAGUUUUUGAUUUUGCAAUCAAAAAUGCAUGAAUUUUUUGAACCAGAUUCAAUUGAUAUGAUAGCGUCAUCUCUAGAAGAAUAUUUAAUAAAUAACGAAACAUCAAUCCCUGUAGAUUAUCAUAAAAUAAAUAAUCCCCUAGAAAUAAAUAAAACCAUCAAUACAGAGAUCGAAAAGCAGCUUAUCAAUAAAGAUAAUGCACUGAUUGAAGGAAAUGAUUCCUUUUUAGAGUUAAUAAUUUCACUUAAUCAUCAGUUACAAAAUGAUUUUCAAACAUUAAAAGGCAAAGAAUACGAAAAACUAGCUAUUUUUACUCAGCCUAAAGAAACGAACUCGGAUAAUAUGUUGUAAUUAUAUCAAACUUUUCUAAAUAACUAAUGAAAUUACUUAGAAAAACUGCUUAGACAUAUCUUUCUUCGAUUUAUAUUGAUAAGACUAUUUACUAAUAGCAAUUGACACAUAUAUAUCUAAAUAUCACGUUUUCUUCAAAUGUAGAUAUAAAAUGAGUACGAUAAAUUGAAUAAUACUUAUUACAUUAUGGGACUUCGAGAAAAAGUGACACUUACUUUCCUAGUGCUUGUAACUUUACAGAUGACCGUCAACUGUUUAAGAUUGCCACAAAAAUACACCCCACGGGCAAGAACUAAUGGUGCCAUACGAAAAUUUUCUUUAAAAUGUAACCCACUACAACCAACCCAAAAUUUAGAAAAUUAUAGAUGCCCAACUCAAAAAUACGGCGAAUCUAUCCGUAAAAAAUUUAACUUUCCCGAAACUGAAUAUUCUGGGAUAUCAAUAUGUUUUCCAAAUCAACACUAUCAAGAGCCUAAUAGAAAGGCUCUAAAUAGUAAAAGCUCAUUCAGCAUCCAGAAUCUGGCUUACAAGUCACACAAUGCAUUUUCAACAUACAAAAAUAAUGUCAAAAAAAGUAUAAAUUCGAAUACAAAAAAUAUGCAACGCGCACCCAUCCCUUUUCCUGAAUGUUCAUCUGCACCUAUCUAUCGGGAUAUUUGUAACUUUCCGGAUGUCGAAUACCCGCUAUGUGCUAGUGAAAUAUGGAAACCUUACUAUUGGAAUGGCUAUUUAAACAAUAAUUUAUUUUAUACCGAUACAAAAAUAAAUCUCAAUGAAGAAAAAUCUUUCAGAAAUUAUAAAGUUGAAAACAUUUGCGGAUUUAACAAAGGGUCGGAAAUGGUAACAAUGAUUGAUAAAAAUUUAAACGCGACGUUGGAACCAAAACAAUCUUUGAGUAUAAAUUCAUAUAAUAUAAAUGCAACAAACACUAAAAAGUGUGAAAAUUCAUUACAAAAUGAAGAUAAAAGUUUCAUAGUUUUGUCACGUGUAGAAGAUUGCAGCAGUAAACUAUUGCCAACCGAAGAUAGGGAGAACGAAUUUGGAUCUAAUGACGAAGACUAUACGACUGAUGAUCCUGAAUACCAAGAGAGUUCUUUCUAUGCUCAAAGUACAGUCGCACCACCAAUAUCAGCUAACAAUGAUAAAACAUGGGAAAAUACUAAAGUACUCCAAAAUUUUGUACAAAAUAUGAAUGAAUUUAGUGAUUAUUUCAUAUCAGUUUAAUAAUUGUUUUGCUAUCGGUUUUUAUUUAUUGUACCAAAUGUAAAUAUAGUUUAAAUUAUUCUGCUGUAUUAGUUCUUAAUUAAAUAGUAAUAAUAAGUAGUUACUUAGAUAGUGAUUGAAAUAUAAUAUGUUCUAAU